GAUGAACGCUGGCGGCGUGCCUAAUACAUGCAAGUCGAGCGAACAGACGAGGAGCUUGCUCCUCUGACGUUAGCGGCGGACGGGUGAGUAACACGUGGAUAACCUACCUAUAAGACUGGGAUAACUUCGGGAAACCGGAGCUAAUACCGGAUAAUAUAUUGAACCGCAUGGUUCAAUAGUGAAAGACGGUUUUGCUGUCACUUAUAGAUGGAUCCGCGCCGCAUUAGCUAGUUGGUAAGGUAACGGCUUACCAAGGCAACGAUGCGUAGCCGACCUGAGAGGGUGAUCGGCCACACUGGAACUGAGACACGGUCCAGACUCCUACGGGAGGCAGCAGUAGGGAAUGUUCCGCAACGGGCGAAAGCCUGACGGAGCAACGCCGCGUGAGUGAUGAAGGUCUUCGGAUCGUAAAACUCUGUUAUUAGGGAAGAACAAAUGUGUAAGUAACUAUGCACGUCUUGACGGUACCUAAUCAGAAAGCCACGGCUAACUACGUG
rnacentral:rRNA from 1 species